rnacentral:rRNA from 1 species
AGGGUGUGCCUACGGGAGGCAGCAGUAAGGGAUAUUGGUCAAUGGGCGCAAGCCUGAACCAGCAACGCCGCGUGCGGGAGGAAGGUUUUCGGACUGUAAACCGCUUUUGGCGGGGACGAUGAUGACGGUACCCGCGGAAUAAGUCUCGGCUAACUACGUGCCAGCAGCCGCGGUAAAACGUAGGAGGCGAGCGUUAUCCGGAUUUACUGGGCGUAAAGCGCGUGCAGGCGGUGCGAUAAGUCGUGCGUGAAAGCUCCCAGGCUUAACCGGGAGAGGACGUGCGAGACUGUCGGACUAGAGGCAGGUAGAGGCAAGUGGAAUUCCGGGUGUAGUGGUGAAAUGCGUAGAGAUCCGGAGGAACCCCGGUGGCGAAGGCGACUUGCUGGGCCUGAACUGACGCUCAGACGCGAAAGCAUGGGGAGCGAACGGGAUUAGAAACCCCGGUAGUCCAUGCUGUAAACGAUGUGGACUAGGCGUCGCUGGACGUUAGUGCGGCGGUGCCGCAGCCAACGCGGUAAGUCCACCGCCUGGGGAGUACGGCCGCAAGGUUAAAACUUAAAUGAAUUGACGGGG